rnacentral:lncRNA from 1 species
AUGAAAAAUCAAUCACUCAAUCAGUCAACAACUUCCAAAGCAGUAAUUUACAACAGCAAUAUGAUUUGGCCAGCCUUCAGGCACCAUCAUGAAGCCUCAAGUCGCCUAGAUUUUAUGUGCUGGCUGCAGACAGUUGCAGUAUGGGAGAGAGCCUGGUACCUUCUUGAGAACAACUGACAAAAACUGCUACCACCCCAGUCCCAGAGGUCAACCGCCCUGCUUUCCAGUACUAGUGGAAUAAAAAC